UUGGGAAUCUUCGGCAAUGGGGGGAACCCUGACCGAGCAACGCCGCGUGCGUGAAGAAGGUUUUCGGAUCGUAAAGCUCUGUUGUUAAGGAAGAACGAGUGUGAGAAUGGAAAGUUCAUACUGUGACGGUACUUAACCAGAAAGGGACGGCUAACUACGUGCCAGCAGCCGCGGUAAUACGUAGGUCCCGAGCGUUGUCCGGAUUUAUUGGGCGUAAAGCGAGCGCAGGCGGUUAGAUAAGUCUGAAGUUAAAGGCAGUGGCUCAACCAUUGUAGGCUUUGGAAACUGUUUAACUUGAGUGCAGAAGGGGAGAGUGGAAUUCCAUGUGUAGAGGUGAAAUGCGUAGAUAUAUGGAGGAACACCGGUGGCGAAAGAGGCUCUCUGGUCUGUAACUGACGCUGAGGCUCGAAAGCGUGGGGAGCGAACAGG
rnacentral:rRNA from 1 species